rnacentral:ncRNA from 1 species
GUAACCGCGAGGUUACAUCUGAAGAAAGCGAGACUACAAAACUCGGUACUGACGAACAGGAACCGUAUACGGAGGCAUAUUUACUUGGGUAAGCAACCACAUCAUUGUAACGCCCUAAGAAGACCAAAAAGGUAAAUAUGUAGAUACGGCAGGGAUUGAGUGAAAGAAUAUGUU